GGGCGGCAGACAACUCGGGCUCCCUUCCCGGCACGCUGUAGGGGAAGAAGUGCAGCCUUCUGCCCCGGCUCCCACUGGCGCUCCUCCCAGCUGCUGUUCUAGCGCCCCGUCCUCAGUCAGACCUGUGGCUCUGCCCUGCGUUCUUCUGCUCCCUGAUCCUGCAUGCAAAAUGGGACCUUUCGCCCCAACGCUGCUGAUGCUGCUGCCCCCACUGCUGAUGCUGGUCCUGUACGGCUGCUGGCAAGCAAGAGGCCGGGUCGGAUAUCAGUAUGAGCAUCACCACAGAUCUGGGGAACGGAAUUUAGCACAUUUCCAGGCUGUGAGAUUCAAUGCCCACAUGUCUUUCAACACCGGAAUGGGUAACAAUGAAGGUGAGGUUUUCCAUGAAGGGCAAAGGACCAUCCCGGCUGUGGAGAGGCAGGGGAAUGCUCUGAGGCAGAGAUCAUGAAGGUGACAUUUCCCCGUAUGGAUACCAACACCAUGGGCACCUCUCGCCUUUCUUGAGACCCAGGGCUUAAAUUGGUUUUGAAUCCCACGGUGAUACUGUAAAUGACCCUUCUUUGUCCUGCUCAGUUAUUCAUUUAGCCCUUUUCUGUGCUCUUGUCACCUCAGAGAAUGGGACCACCUUGUCCCAGCACUGUUGAAGUCCUGAAGCCCACUCCUUCUCAGCUCUGGGUGUUGACUUCUCCACAGCUUCACCUGGUAGACCAAGGCUUUCUGCUUCCCAUCGCCCUUGAUGCAUUUCCUCAGAUUCCUGUGUCCUCCCUUCUCUCUUUGUGCCUCCAUCACUCCCUUAACCCUUCUCCAUCCUUGAAUUGCUUUCCUUCCCUUUGAAGUCCCAGAUCCCUACCCCUUCUCCUUAGUUCAGGAUAACAUAAAUACAUCCUUUUGCCUAACUGUCCUUGGAAUCUCAUGUUUAUUGUGAAUUCCUCAUGUGCACAUCAUUAAAUCUGAUUUGAUUUUUCCCCUGAUAA